GAGCAUGGGGCUGGAAGUCAGGAGACCUGGGUUCAGUUCCCCAUCUACCUGGCAGAAAUGACUUUCUCUUCAAGUGAUUGCCACUUGAAUCUCCACUUUAGGGAAUUCUCCAGAGAAGUAAACCUUGGUUUCUCCUUCCUACUCCCCCGCCCCAGGCUCUUGUGGCUUUCUUGGUCUCUCUCCCCACACCCCAAACUUGCCCUCCUGUUUUCUCAGUCCCUCUGGGUCAUCUUCUAUUCAGCAUUUCUUGUAAUUUUGAUUUUUUUUCCCUACAGCUACAACACUAUCAAGUCCCGCGGGGGGCCUUGGCUGCUGCCGCUGUUUCCACCAACCCGGCCUCUUCCUCAGUUGGUAGUCCUGACCUUCAGGGAUUCAGUCAAGUACCAGGCUAGAUCACGAGGCAUGCUGUGAGAGUAAGAUGAGCUGCUGUAUAACCUUUGUGUGGACCUGAAAGCCCCAGGAUAAUUCAGUGACAUUUUGUGGUGUGAGAGAGCUGCACCUGUGAGUCUAG